GACGAACCGAGCGAACGUUGUUCGGAAUCACUGGGCUUAAAGGGCGCGUAGGCGGGCCAUCAAGUCAGGGGUGAAAUCCUCCAGCUCAACUGGAGAACAGCUUUUGAUACUGGUGGUCUCGAGUGGGGUAGGGGCAUGUGGAACUUCCGGUGGAGCGGUGAAAUGCGUAGAUAUCGAGAGGAACACCUGCGGCGAAGGCGGGUUGCUGGGCUGAUACUGACGCUGAGGCGCGAAAGCUAGGGGAGCGAACGGG
rnacentral:rRNA from 1 species